GGAGGUGUGGUGCAGAUCAGGGUGUCAGAUGUUGUGGUUGAGGACGACCCAAAUGCUGAAAUUCUGCAUUGGUUGGAUUGCAUGAGCUUUUCUCUUUGGGGGUGUUGUGUGGAAUUGAUUCUUUAUGCGUGAAGGAUCAGUUUUGAGAGAAUGUUAUAGGGAUUUGUAGUUCCAAGAGGAUGCGCGGAGGAUGAACAGUGAAAAAGUCAGAAACAAACGAGUCAAUGGUGGUUGGAAACUGGAAAGAAUGGCUUAUGAACACAGAUGAAAGGUAAAUUCAGACUGCAAAUUUGAAACCUCUCCGCUUUUGACCUCUGUCGUCAAUGGUUGCCUCCUAUUGUUUCUCUUUUAUUUCUAAGCUAUUCAUUCAUCUGGUUCCCUGAAUAAAGAGAAUUUUUUCUGAUU